GCAAACUUGGUCAUUUAGAGGAAGUAAAAGUCGUAACAAGGUCUCCGUUGGUGAACCAGCGGAGGGAUCAUUACAGAGUUGCAAAACUCCCUAAACCAUUGUGAACGUUACCUAAACCGUUGCUUCGGCGGGCGGCGCGCCCUCGCGCGCGCCCCUGGGCCCCACCGCGGGCGCCCGCCGGAGGUCACCAAACUCUUGAUAUUAAUUGGCCUCUCUGAGUCUUCUGUACUGAAUAAGUCAAAACUUUCAACAACGGAUCUCUUGGUUCUGGCAUCGAUGAAGAACGCAGC
rnacentral:misc_RNA from 1 species